rnacentral:pre_miRNA from 1 species
UGGACAUAUUUUUGUAUUCGACUGUAUUCACGGCGUGAAACAGGGGAUUACACUGUUUUUAGAUGGAAAGUGAAUCAAUUAAUAUAAUAGACCCCU